CCUACGGGAGGCAGCAGUGGGGGAUAUUGCACAAUGGGGGAAACCCUGAUGCAGCGACGCCGCGUGGGUGAAGAAGUAUUUCGGUAUGUAAAGCCCUAUCAGCAGGGAAGAAAGAAGACGGUACCUGACUAAGAAGCCCCGGCUAACUACGUGCGAGCAGCCGCGGUAAUACGUAGGGGGCGAGCGUUAUCCGGAUUCACUGAGUGUAAAGGGAGCGUAGACGGCCGUGCAAGCCAGGAGUGAAAGCCCGGGGCCCAACCCCGGGACUGCUCUUGGAACUGUGCGGCUGGAGUGCGGGAGGGGCAGGCGGAAUUCCUGGUGUAGCGGUGAAAUGCGUAGAUAUCAGGAGGAACACCGGCGGCGAAGGCGGCCUGCUGGACCGAGACUGACGUUGAGGCUCGAAAGCGUGGGGAGCGAACAGGAUUAGAUACCCUAGUAGUC
rnacentral:rRNA from 1 species